rnacentral:rRNA from 1 species
UCGAGGAUCUUCGGCAAUGGGCGCAAGCCUGACCGAGCGACGCCGCGUGCGGGAUGAAGGCUUUCGGGUUGUAAACCGCUGUCAGUGGGGAGGAAAUCGUAGAGGGUAAUCUCUCUAUGUUGACCUAUCCGCAGAGGAAGCAAGGGCUAAGUUCGUGCCAGCAGCCGCGGUAAGACGAACCUUGCUAACGUUAUUCGGAAUUACUGGGCUUAAAGGGUGCGUAGGCGGUGCGGAAAGUCGGGUGUGAAAUCCCCCAGCUCAACUGGGGAAUUGCGCCUGAAACUACCGUGCUCGAGGAAGACAGAGGUACGCGGAACUUAGGGUGGAGCGGUGAAAUGCGUUGAUAUCCUAAGGAACACCGGUGGCGAAAGCGGCGUACUGGGUCUUAUCUGACGCUGAGGCACGAAAGCUAGGGUAGCGAACGG